rnacentral:lncRNA from 1 species
CCUGAUGUGAAAAGUGACGAACCCUAAGCUGACACAUCAAUGAAAUUCAAAAUUAGGUUAUGGGUUGUCAGGACUAUUAAAGCAAGCAGAACUCUUGAGAUUGAGGAUCCUUAGAGUUGGUGACAAGAAAAUUGUUGGUGUCAUGAAGGAAGGAAGAAUGCCAACAUUAAAAAUCAACACCUACUGAUGGGUGUUUGGGCUUUACCGGGUCAAGCUAAUGACAUUAAAGAAGCGCUUGCUG